UGACAACAUUACCCCCGAUAUGAGCAACUGCUGCCGCACAACUUUUAUGCGUAUCGGAUACCAUGACUCGAUCUUUCAUAUUAUGUGCGCUUAAAUCCUUAAACAUUACACUAGGAAUUAAACUCCCUAAAUUCCCCUUUUUGAAAACUGUACAACAUAAAUCAAAAUUUCAGUUCCUUCAAUUUUUAUACUACUACGAAAUCGGAUGUGAGAACAUUUUUUUUUGCUGAUAAAAAUCGGCCCCCCAAAAAAAAUGGCAGCAGUGGCUGGAUUUUACAGAAGGGCGCUUCCUUCACCACCUGCAAUCGAAUUUGCUUCUCCGGAAGGCAAGAAACUCUUUUCUGAAGCUCUUUUGAGAGGAAACAUGGAAGGCUUUUUUAAGUUGGUGUCAUGUUACCAGACUCAAUCAGAACCUGCAUAUUGUGGGCUCGCUACCCUUGCUGUGGUCUUAAAUGCCCUUGCCAUUGACCCUGGAAGAAAGUGGAAAGGUCCAUGGAGAUGGUUUGAUGAUUCUAUGCUGGAUUGUUGUGAGCCUCUUGAGAAGGUUAAGGUUAGCGGUAUCUCAUUUAGCAAAGUUGAAUGCUUGGCUCAUUGUAAUGGAGCAGAAGUUGAUGCGUUCCGUACAAAUGAAAGCACUAUGGACGAUUUCAGGAAAUGUGUCAUCUCAUGUACUUCUUCUGACAAUUGUCACAUGAUUGUCUCAUACCACAGAGGAUUUCUAAAGCAGACAGGUAGUGGUCAUUUUUCUCCAAUUGGUGGUUACCAUGCCGGGAAGGAUAUGGUUCUUAUUUUAGAUGUUGCUCGAUUUAAGUACCCUCCUCACUGGGUACCUCUCACACUUCUAUGGGAUGCUAUGAACACAGUUGAUAAGUCUACUGGACUUUAUCGAGGGUUCAUGCUUUUAUCAAGUCUCCAGAGGGCAUCAUCAAUUCUUUAUACUCUGAGUUGUCGUCAUGAUGGCUGGGACACUACUGCCAAGUACUUGAGUAAAAAGCUACCACAACUUUUAUCUUGUGAAGAAAUUCAUAACAUUGAGGAUAUGCUAUCUGUUAUUGUUACAUCUGCUCCUGCAAAUCUGAGUUAUUUUAUCAAUUGGGUUGCUGAAGUUCGAAAACAGGAUAAUGGGAGUAUACUUGUCAGUGAAGAGGAAAGGGGAAGGUUGGUUACCAAGGAAGAGGUGUUAAAGCAAGUACGAGAGACUGAACUCUUCAAACGCAUAACCAGAUGGGUUUCAUCGAGAGCAUCUUGCAUGCGCAAUGCAAUAUUGAAUGGUCAUGAUUCUUUAGAAAAAAUUGCUUCUGAAGUAUGCUGUCAAGGUGCUCAACUUAUUUGUGGCAAGGUUGGCUCUUGCCAUGCAAUUUGCUUUAAAACAACACAAGUGAGAUCCUCAGACUCUGACAAUGUUGAGUCUGUCACGGUAAUUUCUGGCAAAAUGACUCUGGCAGAUUCUGAGUAUGGAGCAGAGAUGUUAGUUCCAAGCUGUCAAAGGAAGUCUGGUAGUCCGUGUGAGUGUGGCUCAAAUAGUUCUAAUAAGGAACAUCCGUCUGUGGUUGAUGGUCUAACUGUAUUAAUAUUGGCUCUGCCUCCUGGUACAUGGUCCUGUCUGAAAGAUGCAAAGCUGCAAGAAGAUUUUUAUGGUGUAAUUUCACUGGAGAAUCUCCCCGACUUACUCCAACAGGAGGAAUAUGCUGAAGGAAGUAUGCAUUGUAAGUGAAGUUUCUUCUUGAGAGAUAAAAGGCAAACAGCAUCAAGAAACGGAUGACCAUAAGCUAAUUUACAAGACUUUUGGCCCUGUUUGGUUUGACAAUUGUUUCCAAGGGAGUAAUUUGUAAGUCCAGGGGUGUUGGUGGUGAUCUAGGUUGCAUAGACGGAUACGGGAACGGGUACGGAAUUGGGUACGGGGACGGAAAAUGACAAGAUUUUGAAAUUUUAGGAAUGGGUACGCGUACCCAUAGAGGAUACGUCUCGUAUCGGGCAUGGGUACGGGUACGAGUACAUGACCUAAAAGAAGUACCCGUGCUACAUAGGUGGUGAUAAGUGUGGUUAUGUUGGUGGAGAUGAUGGAGGUUGUGGCCUUGUGGGUGUGGAUUUUUUUUUGUAAUCAUGAGUACGGUGGAGGAGUUUGGAGGGGUUAAAGGGACAAUGGCAAUGGGUCAGAUUGGGUUUACCAAAUUCUAUAUAUGAGUCAUCUGUAUUCCAGAUUCAGAUAUAGGAUCGGAUUUUUCUUCCCUCGAAUCGGGCCAAUGAGUCAGACUCGGAUUAUGCUAUCACUUAAGAUCACAAAAUUAGUGUUUGAUCAGCACAAUUAUAAUAUUUGUACUUUUUUUUAUAACGCAUACAUAAUUCCCCCAUAUAUUGUAAUGUUAUGAUAAUCUACAAGCUGAGGAGGUGAUAGUAGUAAUGAGAUUCAGGUCGGAUUUGGAUCGGGCUUUGCAUAAGAUCUAUCUCCAUCUUAUUUAGAUCGAUUAUUUUCCUUUGUUGGUUUGGACUUGGAUUGGACUUGGGACUGUUUUCAUUUCUAGUUUGGAGCUAUGGAUUUUAAGGGAUCGAUUAAAAAUACCAAACAACACAUAUAGGCUAUAAUUAAUUUUAAACGGAUACCUUCUCCCUGAUUUUAGUAACUACACACUCUUGUCUUUCAUGAGCAAACCUUUCAUUACUUAAUGAAAACAAAAAAGUAAAAUUUGCAUCUAAGCUGAACAUUCUGCAUUC